UGUGGAUAAGAUCACCGGGCAGCCAUGGAAGAACUUACGGCUUUUGUAUCCAAAUCUUUUGACCAGAAAAGCAAAGAGAGCAGCAGCGGCGGUGGCAGCAGCAACAAGAAGGAGACGAUCACGUACAGGGAAGUUUUGGAGAGUGGGUUGGCUCGCUCUAGGGAGCUGGGAAACUCUGACUCUAACCUGCAGGACAUGACCGAGAGCAGCAACCAUUGCCCGGUGCAUCUUUUCAAAGACCACGUAGAGAGCGACAAGGACAAACUGAAGGAGUUCAGCACGGGCAGGACGACGGAAGGUAAGAGCGGGGCUGGGCGUCCUCCGCCCCGCGUUUCUUCCCGCCAGCCCCGGCCGCCUCCCCGGCCGCUCCGCAGCGGGAGUGAACCCGUUCACCUCGCCGGGGCCGGGGGCCAGUCUCGGCCCCGAUGGGGCAAGCGGGUUCGCCCCCCGCAUCUCGCCUCCCUCCUCCUGCCGUCUCCCUCCCGCAGCGGCGGCAACAUAGGCUCAGCAACACAGAUGUCUGCAUGCAUAACGGGAACGUAG